CAAAAAGAGGGCAGCCCCCCAGUCAUUGACUUUGGGGGCUGCCCUCUUAUG
rnacentral:sRNA from 1 species